GAUGAACGCUGGCGGCGUGCCUAAUACAUGCAAGUCGAGCGAACAGACGAGGAGCUUGCUCCUCUGACGUUAGCGGCGGACGGGUGAGUAACACGUGGAUAACCUACCUAUAAGACUGGGAUAACUUCGGGAAACCGGAGCUAAUACCGGAUAAUAUAUUGAACCGCAUGGUUCAAUAGUGAAAGACGGUUUUGCUGUCACUUAUAGAUGGAUCCGCGCCGCAUUAGCUAGUUGGUAAGGUAACGGCUUACCAAGGCAACGAUGCGUAGCCGACCUGAGAGGGUGAUCGGCCACACUGGAACUGAGACACGGUCCAGACUCCUACGGGCGGCAGCAGUAGGGAAUCUUCCGCAAUGGGCGAAAGCCUGACGGAGCAACGCCGCGUGAGUGAUGAAGGUCUUCGGAUCGUAAAACUCUGUUAUUAGGGAAGAACAAAUGUGUAAGUAACUAUGCACGUCUUGACGGUACCUAAUCAGAAAGCCACGGCUCACUACG
rnacentral:rRNA from 1 species